AACUUCCGGUAAAAUUCUGUGGUUUGGUUUUUUUUUUUACUUGAAAAAACAAAUAAGUUUAAGUGUUGUCGAAAUGGGAUGCGAUGGAGGGACAAUCCCAACAAGAGAUGAGUUAGUGAGGACUAGAAAAAAGCCAGAAAAAAAAGACAGGACUGCGGAAUUGGACGCCAAAUGGAAACACUGUGCUCUGAGUCAGGAGCCUCUUGUGCCUCCCAUCAUGGCUUGUGAACUCGGCAGUGAUCUGAGUUUCAGACUAUACAACAAGGAGUCAACUCUUGAGUUGCUGUUGGACAGAACUAAAUUUGACUGUGCUGCGAGUUUCGACCAUCUCAAAAGUCUAAAGGAUCUUCGACAACUGAAUUUGACUACUAACCGUGGAUACACAGGAGGAAAAGCAGAAAUGGGGAAUUGCUACAUCGAUACUCAGACUUCUGUGUAUAUUUGUCCAGUUGCUGGUCUUGAAAUGAACGGUACAUACAAGUUUUGCUUUCCGUGGUCAUGUGGAUGUGUUAUAUCAGAACGGGCUUUGAAAGAAGUUCCCACUGAAGUUUGUCACACGUGUGGUGAAAAAUUCAUGCAGGAUGACAUUAUCGUUCUGAAUCCCCCAGAGGAAGAUCUCGACACUGUGAGACUCCAGAUGGAGGCCAGAAGACUCCGACUUAAGCGUGACAAGAAAUUGCGAAAAGCUCAAAAACACACGAUAGCAGACAUCAUCAUUGACAGUGUGGCUGAAGAUGGACCUACGACCAGCAAACGAGUUCGAUUCACACAAUCAGCAGGGCAGAAAAACAAGCUUGUUACCGGAACAUCAGCAAGUCGGCCAAAUGGAAUGGACACAAGACUGGAGCAUAAGUCAAAACCAACUAAUGGGAAGGCGGAGGACAAAUCUACAAAGUCAACAGGAAUCCAAGAAGAUCCUACAACAAGUACAGUGUACAAAUCACUGUUCACUUCAUCCGAUAAGGCGAAGAACCAGCAAAAAGCUCACUGGGUGACAUUCAACCCAAUGUAUUACUGAGGUUAUUUACAACUCAACCCAGUGUAUUACUGAGGUUAUUUACAACUCAACCCUGUGUAUUACUGAGGUUAUUUACAACUCAACCCAGUGUAUUACUGAGGUUAUUUACAACUAAACCCUGUGUGUUACUGAGGUUAUUUACAACUCAACCCUGUGUUACUGAGGUUGAUUACAACUCAACCCACUGUUACUGAGGUUAUUUGUAACAGUAUGUAAUGUAAUUAAACCUCACUGUAAUCCACUGUUACUGAGGUUAUUUGUAACAGUAUGUAAUAUAAUUAAACCUCACUAUAAUCCAGUUACUACUGAGGUUAUUUGUAACAGUAUGUAAUAUAAUUAAACCUCACUGGAUAACUGAGGUUAUUUGUAACGGUAUGUAAUAUAAUUAAACUUCACUAAUUCACUGUUACUACUGAGGUUAUUUGUAACGGUAUGUAAUAUAAUUAAACCUCACUAAUCCACUGUUACUACUGAGGUUAUUUGUAACGGUAUGUAAUAUAAUUAAACUUUACUAAUCCACUUUUACUACUGAGGUUAUUUGUAACAGUAUGUAAUAUAAUUAAACCUCACUAAUCCACUGUUUCUACUGAGGUUAUUUGUAACAGUAUGUAAUAUAAUUAAACCUCACUAAUUCACUGUUACUACUGAGGUUAUUUGUAACAGUAUGUAAUAAUUUGUAACAGUAUGUAAUAUAAUUAAACCUCACUAAUCCACUGUUUCUACUGAGGUUAUUUGUAAUAGUAUGUAAUAUAAUUAAACCUCACUAAUUCCGUGUUACUACUGAGGUUAUUUGUAACAGUAUAUAUUAUAAUUAAACCUCACUAAUUCACUGUUACUACUGAGGUUAUUUGUAACAGUAUAUAUUAUAAUUAAACCUCACUAAUUGACUGUUACUACUGAGGUUAUUUGUAACAGUAUAUAUUAUAAUUAAACUUCAAUGGAUAGCUCUGUGUUGCAGACACUCAGUACAUGCUUAAUUUUUCAUGUGAUUUUAAUUUUCCAUUUGGAAGAAAAUAAUAAGAAUGGGCCUACAUUUCUGGUGUGAGAAAGAUACAAUGUAUCUGUUUGAAAUCAUCAUCACAGUCGAUACAAAGUCUGCACCGCAGUGAUACAAACAAAGUCAGCACCGCAGUGAUACAAAGUCAGCAUCACAGUCGAUACAAAGUCAGCAUCACAGUCGAUACAAAGUCAGCAUCACAGUUGAUACAAAGUCUACACCGCAGUGAUACAAAGUCUGCACCGCAGUGAUACUAAGUCAGCAUCACAGUCGAUACAGAGUCUGCACCGCAAUGAUACAAAGUCUGCACCGCAGUAAUACAAAGUCAGCAUCGCAGUGAUACAAAGUCUGCACCGCAGUGAUACAAAGUCGGUGCUGUCUAUUAGAAGUUCCCUUUGAUCAUUUUGCUGCAUGUACAAAAUCACAUGCUGUUCGCAAAUUAAAGCAACUGUCCUGAGUUUCCGGUUUUUCUCCCUCUAAAAAGUAAACACAUCCUACUUUUUCAAGUUUCUAAUUGCAUUUCCAAUAGACAACUGCCUCUAUCCCCACCCAUUAUACAUUUCGAAAUCACAGUGAAAAGCAUAACUGCAUCUAUUAAUCUUUAAUUGCUUUUUGGUAUCUGUGUGGUUACAUUGCAGUAGGCUUAUACAUGUAAGUUAUAUAUGCAGUAUUCUGAAACUUCAAUUUUUUUGUAAUAAAAACAAACACAAGCCUUGCUUAAUCAGUUUAUUAAAAUAUUACAUACACAGCCAGAAAAAUAGUACAUUUAAUAAGAUAUUUUAAAAUGCCAAAAUAGAAAUUAAAAUGUUGAAAUACUGAGGUGCAGCAUCAAUUGGAUAGAUGUAGGAUUCACAUAAUUUUGGUACUUUCUGUUGGACCCGGAAGCAUUAAGCUCAAUGCUUCCAGGAAAUCCCUGUUUAUUAUCAUUUCAUUCAGACUAUUAUUUGGCACCAACCAGUACUCUCCUGUAAGAGAACCGAUGGAGUAGUGUGCUCAAAUGUAAUUGGCAGCUUUCAAGUUGAUCCUAGCAUACAAUUUUGUAAAACAACAUUUUUAUUUAUGAUAGAAAAGUUGAUGGAGAAAAGCUAUGAAAAUCCUUCGAAUUAGAUUCUCGUUUGAUUUCCGUGGCCCAUUAACAUUUUCAUUUGUAUUAGAACUACUGAAGAAAAUUGUUCGUGUAAACAUUAAAACCACACUAACAAUAUAUCGGUGGUCUGAAAAAUUCUAAUUUUAUGCCCUGGUAUGGUAUGACAAUAUGGCUUCCCAAGGCCUCGAACUUCACCAUGGCAGGGAUAAAUCAGCAGUGCUGCAAUACAAAAUAUCUUUGAUGGUAUUUUUUGUUAUUAUCACAUAUUUGUCUGUACUAUCAAAAUGUAUGACCUGAACGUAAAGCUAUAUAGUAACAUUAUGAUUUUUAGAUCAAACUGGGAAAAUUAAACCAAAUAAUUAACAAAUAUUUUUCUCUACAUCCACAAAUGCUAUAACCAACUUUAUUACCCCAGUGGUCACUUAUAAUUGGGAAAAUAUUGUUUCAUAUUUUCUCAUUGAGAAAUAUUCUGCAUUGGUAUAAUGUACACUAAAAUUGGACAAUUUGAGGCUUACAAACCAGUGAUAUUGUCAGUACUAAAUAUGACUUCACGAUGAUUUGGCAAGCUAACAAAAUGAUGUCAUCUAGUUUAAAGAGUUUGCCUUUAUGAUUUUGUUUUAAAUGUUAAACUUGUAAUAAAAUGUUAUUUUAAUGCAAUUCAUUAUAAAAAGAUUUUUAAACAGAAUAUAUAGAACUUUUGUUUUUGAAAAUUAUCUGUGAACAUGGUUGAAAUACAGAGUUUUACUCAGA
rnacentral:misc_RNA from 1 species